AGAUAACGGCGUCGAGCGGCGGACGGGUGAGUAAUGCCUGGGAAAUUGCCCUGAUGUGGGGGAUAACCAUUGGAAACGAUGGCUAAUACCGCAUAAUAGCUUCGGCUCAAAGAGGGGGACCUUCGGGCCUCUCGCGUCAGGAUAUGCCCAGGUGGGAUUAGCUAGUUGGUGAGGUAAUGGCUCACCAAGGCGACGAUCCCUAGCUGGUCUGAGAGGAUGAUCAGCCACACUGGAACUGAGACACGGUCCAGACUCCUACGGGAGGCAGCAGUGGGGAAUAUUGCACAAUGGGCGCAAGCCUGAUGCAGCCAUGCCGCGUGUAUGAAGAAGGCCUUCGGGUUGUAAAGUACUUUCAGCAGUGAGGAAGGUGGUGUCGUUAAUAGCGGCCUCAUUUGACGUUAGCUGCAGAAGAAGCACCGGCUAACUCCGUGCCAGCAGCCGCGGUAAUACGGAGGGUGCGAGCGUUAAUCGGAAUUACUGGGCGUAAAGCGCAUGCAGGUGGUUUGUUAAGUCAGAUGUGAAAGCCCGGGGCUCAACCUCGGAAUUGCAUUUGAAACUGGCAGACUAGAGUACUGUAGAGGGGGGUAGAAUUUCAGGUGUAGCGGUGAAAUGCGUAGAGAUCUGAAGGAAUACCGGUGGCGAAGGCGGCCCCCUGGACAGAUACUGACACUCAGAUGCGAAAGCGUGGGGAG
rnacentral:rRNA from 1 species